AUUGAACGCUGGCGGCAGGCCUAACACAUGCAAGUCGAGUGGAUGAGAGGAGCUUGCUUCUCGAUUCAGCGGCGGACAGGUGAGUAAUGCCUAGGAAUCUGCCUGGUAGUGGGGGACAACGUUUCGAAAGGAACGCUAAUACCGCAUACGUCCUACGGGAGAAAGCAGGGGACCUUCGGGCCUUGCGCUAUCAGAUGAGCCUAGGUCGGAUUAGCUAGUUGGUGAGGUAAUGGCUCACCAAGGCGACGAUCCGUAACUGGUCUGAGAGGAUGAUCAGUCACACUGGAACUGAGACACGGUCCAGACUCCUACGGGAGGCAGCAGUGGGGAAUAUUGGACAAUGGGCGAAAGCCUGAUCCAGCCAUGCCGCGUGUGUGAAGAAGGUCUUCGGAUUGUAAAGCACUUUAAGUUGGGAGGAAGGGUUGUAGAUUAAUACUCUGCAAUUUUGACGUUACCGACAGAAUAAGCACCGGCUAACUCUGUGCCAGCAGCCGCGGUAACAC
rnacentral:rRNA from 1 species